GACGAACGCUGGCGGCGUGCUUAACACAUGCAAGUCGAACGGAAAGGCCCUGCUUUUGUGGGGUGCUCGAGUGGCGAACGGGUGAGUAACACGUGAGUAACCUGCCCUUGACUUUGGGAUAACUUCAGGAAACUGGGGCUAAUACCGGAUAGGAGCUCCUGCUGCAUGGUGGGGGUUGGAAAGUUUCGGCGGGUGGGGAUGGACUUGCGGCUUAUCAGCUUGUUGGUGGGGUAGUGGCUUACCAAGGCUUUGACGGGUAGCCGGCCUGAGAGGGUGACCGGCCACAUUGGGACUGAGAUACGGCCCAGACGCCUACGGGAGGCAGCAGUGGGGAAUAUGGCACAAUGGGCGGACGCCUGAUGCAGCAACGCCGCGUUCGGGAUGACGGCCUUCGGGGUGUAAACCGCUUUCGCCUGUGACGAAGCGUGAGUGACGGUAAUGGGUAAAGAAGCACCGGCUAACUACGUG
rnacentral:rRNA from 1 species